rnacentral:sRNA from 1 species
UUUUUUGUUAAAGGGUUUACGUUUGAGAUUAAUAUUGGGUAAUAUUAGAGGAUGACCAAAUUUGACAGCAUUAUUAAGAAAAUAGCGUUCGUGCAGAAAAGUUGGGUAAAUAACUUUUUUGAGCCUGCAAAAUAACUAUUUUACCCUUUACAGAUGAGAGAAACUCUUUCUUUCCGACAAUAGCUGCUACAUGUAGGGAACAAAAGACAAUAUGAAGUAAUGAUUACACCGCUACUUCUUAAAAAAUCAUGCAAUAUUAGACCACUACUUAUUAAAAUCACACGCAAUAUCUCUUAUACCUUAAAAAUGUAUACGUAAAAAAAAACUUAGUUAAAAGAUAGCCAUUUAGAAACAGUUGUGAUUGAGUAUAGAAGUGUUGCAUAAGAUAUUUAAGGACAUGCUAUUUAUUUUUAUUACAUUAGAACGUAGGUUUAUUGUUUUGACAAUAUGGUAAAUGGUUUCAACAGAGAUAAGCAAACCACAUAUGUGUUAUUUAUAGAUUACAUGUGAUUGUACAAAUUUGCAUGUGAUUAUAAA